rnacentral:rRNA from 1 species
AUUGAACGCUGGCGGCAUGCCUUACACAUGCAAGUCGAACGGUAACAGGUCUUCGGAUGCUGACGAGUGGCGAACGGGUGAGUAAUGCAUCGGAACGUGCCCAGUAGUGGGGGAUAGCCCGGCGAAAGCCGGAUUAAUACCGCAUACGACCUGAGGGUGAAAGGGGGGGGAUCGCAAGACCUCUCGCUAUUGGAGCGGCCGAUGUCAGAUUAGCUAGUUGGUGGGGUAAAGGCCUACCAAGGCAACGAUCUGUAGUUGGUCUGAGAGGACGACCGGCCACACUGGGACUGAGACACGGCCCAGACUCCUACGGGAGGCAGCAGUGGGGAAUUUUGGACAAUGGGCGCAAGCCUGAUCCAGCAAUGCCGCGUGCAGGAAGAAGGCCUUCGGGUUGUAAACUGCUUUUGUCAGGGAAGAAAUCUUCUGGGCUAAUACCCUGGGAGGAUGACGGUACCUGAAGAAUAAGCACCGGCUAACUACGUGCCAGCCGCCGCAGUAACAC